UACAAAGGUCCCAAGCGUUGUUCGGAUUCAUUGGGCGUAAAGGGCGCGUAGGCGGUCAGCACAAGACAGGUGUGAAAUCCCCGGGCUUAACCUGGGAACUGCAUUUGUGACUGCAUAGCUAGAGUACGGUAGAGGGGGAUGGAAUUCCGCGUGUAGCAGUGAAAUGCGUAGAUAUGCGGAGGAACACCAGUGGCGAAGGCGGCUCACUGGCCCGGUACUGACGCUGAGGUGCGAAAGCGUGGGGAGCAAACAGG
rnacentral:rRNA from 1 species